rnacentral:rRNA from 1 species
CGCGUAGGUGGUUGUGUAAGUCAGAUGUGAAAUCCCGAGGCUCAACUUCGGAACUGCAUCUGAUACUGCAUGACUCGAGUGCAGCAGAGGGAAACGGAAUUCCUGGUGUAGAGGUGAAAUUCGUAGAUAUCAGGAGGAACACCGGUGGCGAAGGCGGUUUCCUGGGCUGACACUGACACUGAGGCGCGAAAGCGUGGGUAGCAAACA